rnacentral:rRNA from 1 species
UACGAGGGGAGCAAGCGUUGUUCGGAAUCAUUGGGCGUAAAGGGCGCGUAGGCGGCAGUACAAGUCUGGGGUGAAAGCCCUCGGCUUAACCGAGGAAUUGCCUUGGAAACUGUACAGCUUGAGUAUUGGAGAGGAAAGCGGAAUUCCCAGUGUAGCGGUGAAAUGCGUAGAUAUUGGGAGGAACACCGGUGGCGAAGGCGGCUUUCUGGACAAUCACGGACGCUGAGGCGCGAAAGCCAGGGGAGAAAACGGG